GACGCACGCUGGCGGCGUGCCUAAUACAUGCAAGUAGGACGCAGUUGCGAACGGUUGAGUAACGCGUAGGUAACUGCCUAUUAGAGGGGGAUAACUAUUGGAAACGUUAGCUAAUACCGCAUACUAGUAGAUGGACCUGCGUUGUAUUAGCUAGUAGGUAGGGUAAUGGCCUACCUAGGCGACGAUACAUAGCCGACCGGAGAGGGUGAGCGGACAAACUGGGACUGAGACACGGCCCAGAAUCCUACGGGAGGCAGCAGUAGGGAAGCUUCGGCAAGGGGGGGAACCCUGACCGAGCAACGCCGCGUGAGGGAAGAAGGUUUUCGGAUGGUAAAGCUCUGUUGUUAAGGAAGCGGUACUUAACCAGAAAGGGACGGCUAACUACGUGCCAGCAGCCGCGGUAAUAC
rnacentral:rRNA from 1 species